GAUAAACGCUGGCGGCGUGCGUAACACAUGCAAGUUGAGCGACGGAAUUGCGAAGUGGAGACACGGAACGAUUUACGGAGCAGCGGACGGGUGAGUAAUAUAUGAGAAGCUGUCCAAGAGCGGGGGACAACAGCUGGAAACGGCUGCUAAUACCCCAUAGGCCUACGGGUUAAAGCAGUAAUGCGCUCUUGGAGGUGCUCGUAACCUAUCAACUAGUUGGCGGGGUAACGGCCCACCAAGGUAACGACGGGUAGUCGGCCUGAGAGGGUGUCCGGCCACACUGGGACUGAGAUACGGCCCAGACUCC
rnacentral:rRNA from 1 species